GGCUUCAGAGAGAGUGCCUAUGGGGCACCAGGUAAUCUGAGACUGCAGCUCAGAGAUUACUCCAGCAAACGGUCAGGACAAGAAUUCAUCUUGUGUGGGUGGAAAAGAUCAUGACUCUGGAAUUCUAAAAUAUCUCCCAGAUUAAUUUUUUUCACCAAGGAAGCACCUGUGGAUGUGGGGCCCUAAAUGAGAAAGUUCUGAUUUUACACAUCUAUGAUUUGGAUGGAAACAAAAGUGAAUCUCUGACCUUCUGGUCACCUCUCUGACUAGCUCUCCCCUUCCUGUACAUUUACUCCAGGGGGAAAGUGCAGAGGAAGCGGGCCAUGCCAGGAAGGGCACAGCCAUUGGAGAAUCUGAAUUAGUGGAUUUCAAGCAAAAUUAGAAACUGGGGCUAGGACCACCUGGAAGCUCCUGUGGUUUUCCAGAGCUGACACAAGUGGCAAUGAAAAUGGCCUGAAGAAGAGGCAAAGGGACUUGCUACAACAGCCACUGGCACCUGCCUCUGGGCUUGCCUUUUGUCUCCCCUUCCUUGCUCUUUAAACCUGGCUAUCCUUACCCUCCCUUGGAGAACACUCCUCCCAAGACUGACUGUAAAGUAAGGCUGCCCCUGCAGUCCCCAAAGAUGAGCCUGGCUGAGAAACAAGGAAUACUCCCCCAGCUUUCCAGACUCCCCUCUCCCCACUGCUGGUGAAGCUCAUGGCUGGUGAAAUCUUGGCAUGUUUAACCUCUCCAUACAAGUAACUCAUUGAUUGUAGAUUUUGGAAGCAUCUGAAAAUACAAGAUAGUGUUAAAGUA